rnacentral:rRNA from 1 species
AGCAGCCGCGGUAAUUCCAGCUCCAAUAGCGUAUAUUAAAGUUGUUGCAGUUAAAAGCUCGUAGUUGAAUUUCGGGAUUGACACAUCGGUCGUGCCUUAAGGGGUAUGAACUGGUGUAGUCAAUUUCUCACCUUCUGGAGAACCGCAAUGCCCUUAAUUGGGUGUCGCGGGGAACCAGGACCUUUACUUUGAAAAAAUUUAGAGUGUUUAAAGCAGGCAUUUUGCUUGAAUACAUUAGCAUGGAAUAAUAAAAUAGGACGGCAUGAUUCUAUUUUGUUGGUUUCUAGGAUCACCGUAAUGAUUAAUAGGGAUAGUUGGGGGCAUUAGUAUUCAAUUGUCAGAGGUGAAAUUCUUGGACUUAUUGAAGACUAACUACUGCGAAAGCAUUUGCCAAGGAUGUUUUCAUUAAUCAAGAACGAAAGUUAGGGGAUCGAAGACGAUCAGAUACCGUCGUAGUCUUAACCAUAAACUAUGCCGACUAGGAAUCAGACGAUGUUAAUUUUUUCAAUGACUCGUUUGG